rnacentral:rRNA from 1 species
AUUGAACGCUGGCGGCAGGCCUAACACAUGCAAGUCGAGCGGAGCGGCGGGCGGGUGAGUAAUGACUAGGAAUCUGCCUGGUAGUGGGGGAUAACGUCCGGAAACGGACGCUAAUACCGCAUGCUAUCAGAUAAGCCUAGGUCGGAUGAGCUAGUUGGUGGGGUAAAGGCCUACAAAGGCGACGAUCCGUAACUGGUCUGAGAGGAUGAUCAGUCACACUGGAACUGAGACACGGUACAGACUCCUACGGGAGGCAGCAGUGGGGAAUAUUGGACAAUGGGCGAAAGCCUGAUCCAGCCAUGCCGCGUGUGUGAAGAAGGUCUUCGGGUUGUAAAGUACUUUCAGCGGGGAGGCGUUACCCGCAGAAGAAGCACCGGCUAACUCCGUGCCAGCAGCCGCGGUAAUUC